AAGACCUUGCGCUUUUGGAGCGGCCGAUGCCUGAUUAGCUUGUUGGUAAGGUAAAAGCUUACCAAGGCUUCGAUCAGUAGCUGGUCUGAGAGGACGACCAGCCACACUGGGACUGAGACACGGCCCAGACUCCUACGGGAGGCGGCAGUGGGGAAUUUUGGACAAUGGGGGCAACCCUGAUCCAGCCAUGCCGCGUGAGUGAAGAAGGCCUUCGGGUUGUAAAGCUCUUUCAGCCGGAACGAAACGGUUACGGUUAAUACCCAUGACUACUGACGGUACCGGAAGAAGAAGCACCGGCUAACUACGUGCCAGCAGCCGCGGUAAUACGUAGGGUGCGAGCGUUAAUCGGAAUUACUGGGCGUAAAGCGUGCGCAGGUGGUUUUGUAAGUCAGAUGUGAAAGCCCCGGGCUCAACCUGGGAACU
rnacentral:rRNA from 1 species